rnacentral:rRNA from 1 species
GACGAACGCUGGCGGCGUGCUUAACACAUGCAAGUCGAACGGAAAGGCCCUGCUUUUGUGGGGUGCUCGAGUGGCGAACGGGUGAGUAACACGUGAGUAACCUGCCCCUGUCUUUGGGAUAACUUCAGGAAACUGGGGCUAAUACCGGAUAGGAGCUCCUGCUGCAUGGUGGGGGUUGGAAAGUUUCGGCGGUUGGGGAUGGACUCGCGGCUUAUCAGCUUGUUGGUGGGGUAGUGGCUUACCAAGGCUUUGACGGGUAGCCGGCCUGAGAGGGUGACCGGCCACAUUGGGACUGAGAUACGGCCCAGACUCCUACGGGAGGCAGCAGUGGGGAAUAUUGCACAAUGGGCGGGAGCCAGAUGCAGAAACGCCGCGUGCGGGAUGACGGCCUUCGGGUUGUAAACCGCUUUCGCCUGAAACGAAGCGUGAGUGACGGUAAUGGGUAAAGAAGCACCGGCUAACUACGUG